AUUGAACGCUAGCGGGAUGCUUUACACAUGCAAGUCGAACGAGUGGCGGACGGGUGAGUAAUGUAUCGGAACGUGCCCGGUAGCGGGGGAUAACUACUCGAAAGAGUGGCUAAUACCGCAUACUAUUGGAGCGGCCCAGAUUGGAUUAGCUAGUUGGGGGGGUAAAGGCUCACCAAGGCAACGAUCCGUAGCUGGUCUGAGAGGAUGACCAGCCACACUGGAACUGAGACACGGCCCAGACUCCUACGGGAGGCAGCAGUGGGGAAUUUUGCACAAUGGGCGCAACCCUGAUCCAGCCAUCCCGCGUGUAUGAGAAGGCCUUCGGGUUGUAAAGUACUUUUGGCAGAGAGGCGGUAUCUGCAGAAGAAGCACCGGCUAACUACGUGCCAGCCGCCGCGGUAAUUC
rnacentral:rRNA from 1 species